GACAGAGGGUGCAAACGUUGUUCGGAAUUACUGGGCGUAAAGCGCGUGUAGGCUGCUUCGCAAGUCGGAUGUGAAAGCCCUGGGCUCAACCCAGGAAGUGCAUUCGAAACUGCAGAGCUGGAGUCCUGGAGAGGAAGGCGGAAUUCUCGGUGUAGAGGUGAAAUUCGUAGAUAUCGAGAGGAACACCGGUGGCGAAGGCGGCCUUCUGGACAGUGACUGACGCUGAGACGCGGAAAGCGUGGGGAGCAAACAGG
rnacentral:rRNA from 1 species